GAUGAACGCUGGCGGCGUGCCUAAUACAUGCAAGUCGAGCGAACAGACGAGGAGCUUGCUCCUCUGACGUUAGCGGCGGACGGGUGAGUAACACGUGGAUAACCUACCUAUAAGACUGGGAUAACUUCGGGAAACCGGAGCUAAUACCGGAUAACAUGUUGAACCGCAUGGUUCAACAGUGAAAGACGGUCUUGCUGUCACUUAUAGAUGGAUCCGCGCCGCAUUAGCUAGUUGGUAAGGUAACGGCUUACCAAGGCAACGAUGCGUAGCCGACCUGAGAGGGUGAUGGGCCACACUGAAACUGAGACACGGUCCAGACUCCUACGGGAGGCAGCAGUAGGGAAUCUUCCGAAAUGGGCGAAAGCCUGACGGAGCAACGCCGCGUGAGUGAAGAAGGUCUUCGGAUCGUAAAACUCUGUUAUUAGGGAAGAACAAAUGUGUAAGUAACUAUGCACGUCUUGACGGUACCUAAUCAGAAAGCCACGGCUACCUACGU
rnacentral:rRNA from 1 species